CGAGCGAGAUAAUUAUCGCCUAUCAAUUCAAAAAAAAAAAAUCGCCUAUCCGUUCCUGUCUCCGGCCUCCCCUUCUCCGAGCAGAGCAUCAUCUGAGCGGCGAGCAGCAGACUGGAACGGGAUGGGAAGCGCUGGAACGCCGCUCUCGCACCCGCGGCCGCAUCUGCACUCCGGCGGCGUCUACAUCAGCCAGAGCCGGACCCUCCCGCGCGCGCGCAACCUGCCACUAUUAUCUCUCCCUGCCGCGGCGCCCGGGCCCCAGCGCGGCCGCCGCCGGUGCCUCCGCUGCGCUGCUGUCAACGGGGACGGCAGGCCCCGGGAGGAGGGCCCACCGCCGCCUAGGGAGGAGUAUCCGUCCAGCGGCCUCGGCGCCGCACUCGAGGACCCGGCUUCAGGACCUCCUGGGGUGCAAAUGGGUCGGAUACUUACUGACCAACCAACCGCCAAGGAGGUACGGGUAGAAAUCGAAGCAAAAAAUCUGGAAAAUGGUUCGUUUGGAGGCCUGUCACAAGAAGAAGACCAGAGUGCUCUGUAUAAUUUUCUUUAUCCAAGCAAAGAGUUACUUCCUGAUGAUAAGGAGAUGAGUAUAUUUGAUCAUCUAGAAGAGCUCCGUGAGAGGAUAUUCAUCUCAGUUUUGGCUGUUGGAGCUGCGAUACUUGGCUGUUUUGCUUUUUCAAAAGAUUUGAUUCUGCUUCUAGAAGCGCCUGUGACUGUUCAGGGUGUUCGGUUUUUGCAGCUCUCCCCUGGGGAAUUUUUCUUUACAACAUUAAAGGUCUCUGGUUAUUGUGGCCUUUUACUUGGAAGUCCUAUCAUUUUGUAUGAGAUCAUUGCAUUUGUUCUCCCAGGUUUAACAAGGGAUGAGCGGAAAUUCCUAGGGCCUAUUGUUUUGGGUUCUUCUGUUCUAUUCUACCUUGGCAUUUUCUUCUCCUACACAGUUCUUAGCCCUGCUGCAUUGAACUUCUUCGUGAACUAUGCAGACGGGGCAGUGGAAUCGUUAUGGUCAAUAGACCAGUACUUUGAAUUCGUACUUGUGCUUAUGUUCAGCACAGGUUUAUCCUUUCAGGUUCCUGUUAUCCAGCUAUUGUUGGGACAAGUUGGAUUGGUUUCUGGAGACCAAAUGCUUUCAAUCUGGAGAUAUGUUGUUGUUGGUGCUGUUGUUGCUGCUGCGGUGCUUACACCUUCGACGGAUCCAUUGACACAGAUGCUCCUGGCAGGUCCUCUGCUUGGUUUGUACUUGGGUGGUGCAUGGAUGGUCAAGCUAAUUGGGCGAUAGCUGGUCCAUGUAUAUCAGAGAAUUGUCAUUCAUGAGUGUAGCUGGCUGGCAUCAUAGACGAGGUAAUCUCAAUAAUUUGGCUGCUAGCAUCACUUGGCCUACCCAGCUCCCUCCGGAUUGGAUGGUCGAGUGGGAUCCCUCCUCGGUCGGCGAGGAUAGGGGUUAUUGAUGUCAUGAUCGGCUUCGUCAUGAUAUCGUGUAUCGACAUUUAGACUUCUGCUGAACUUUAUCUUCGUUGUUUGAAACCGUGCAAACUUUAUCUGAAUUUCGCAAAACUCUGAUAUAAUAAUUGUUAACUAUGUUGAUGAGAUGGGAAUGUUA